UACGAAGGGUGCAAGCGUUACUCGGAAUUACUGGGCGUAAAGGGUGCGUAGGCGGUUUGGUAAGUCUGAUGUGAAAUCUAUGGGCUCAACUCAUAGUCUGCAUCGGAAACUGCCGGGCUUGAGUAUGGGAGAGGUGAGUGGAAUUCCUGGUGUAGCGGUGAAAUGCGUAGAUAUCAGGAGGAACACCUGUGGCGAAAGCGGCUCACUGGACCAUAACUGACGCUGAUGCACGAAAGCUAGGGGAGCAAACAGG
rnacentral:rRNA from 1 species